GAAAAAAGGUAUCAUCCAAAACCUGCAUAUGAUCAGAGUAGAAGUGAUAUAGGCACAGAGAAGAAAAGAAGUAUAUGAUUUCAAAAACCUUGGGGGAGAAGGUGAAAAAUGCAGUGAACAAGACCCUGAUGAUCAAUGUGGUGGCAGAUGUCACAAUCCAACUACCUCAUACCCUCCUUUCUUAAUUGUCAGUGACAUGGAAAAACUAGUAAGCAUUUCCUAAGUGCCAGCCAUUGAAGAACAUGCCCAAGUUACACUGUUACACAAAAUUCAUUCUCUGCUCUGAAUGGACUUAUGGUCUUCAUGAGAUGAUAAGUAAACAGAAAAUUACAAAUAGUGCCACAAUCAAAAAUAGGAGCUUUGGAAGGAUUUCGGAGUGGCUAACCACGGCUUGAAAAACCUGAUUAUCUUAUCACUAGCCAACACACCUGUUAUGCCACAACAUUUACAUAGAAAAAUCAUGUUGUUUUACUGAGAAAUCUUUGUCCUCCAAAAUGCCUAAAUGUUUGGAAAUGAUGAAGACUGAUUCAUG